rnacentral:sRNA from 1 species
UACUCCUCUCAAGGCAGUGGACAAGGCUCACGUGUUAGAAAGUGAAGGAACCCACAAGACUCCCAGAAGGUGAAGUUAAGAGCUCCCAGGCUCAUAAGGUUAUUAGAACAGCAAACUGGCACCCCAAAGAACUUUACGGAGACUUGCAACCUACCAACAAGUUGGAUGAGGGAUUAAAAGCCUUCAACAACCAACAACCCCAAGCAUCAAACUGAAGGAAACAUUCUAACCUUCACAGACAGACUGGAGGCUGGAUGGGGACCUGGCUGAAGACAUCUGGAGAAUGAAAGUUAAGUACCAGCUUGGAUUUUUGUGCCCCUAGAUUAUUUUUGCGUUUUAAAAUAAGAAGCAU